GUUUCAGAUAUAGUAUUGAUUAACAUGUGGUGUCAUGAUAUUGGCCGUGAGCAAGCUGCAAAUAAACCUCUUUUGAAGACGGUAUUCCAGGUCAUGAUGCGAUUAUUUAGUCCACGCAAAACAACUUUGAUGUUUGUCAUACGUGAUAAAACAAGGACACCACUGGAGAAUUUAGAACCUGUUCUAAGAGAAGAUAUUCAGAAGAUAUGGGAUGCUGUUCCCAAGCCAGAAGCCCACCAGGCGCAAUAGAAUGGAAAAAGCGUUGCCUCAAAUUAGCCACUUGUUCUUUGAAUUGCUCUUCUUUUUCUUCAUAACUAGAAAGGGCAACAACUUCCACAUUAAAAAAUUCACUUAAUGGAGUUUCCUUGUGUG
rnacentral:misc_RNA from 1 species